GAUGAACGCUGACAGAAUGCUUAACACAUGCAAGUCUACUUGAAUUUGGGUUUUUAACUUAGAUUUGGGUGGCGGACGGGUGAGUAACGCGUAAAGAACUUGCCUCACAGCUAGGGACAACAUUUAGAAAUGAAUGCUAAUACCUAAUAUUAUGAUAAUAGGGCAUCCUAUAAUUAUGAGAGCUAUAUGCGCUGUGAGAGAGCUUGCGUCCCAUUAGCUAGUUGGAGAGGUAACGGCUCACCAAGGCGAUGAUGGGUAGCCGGCCUGAGAGGGUGAUCGGCCACAAGGGGACUGAGACACGGCCCUUACUCCUACGGGAGGCAGCAGUGGGGAAUAUUGGACAAUGGACCGAGAGUCUGAUCCAGCAAUUCUGUGUGCACGAUGAAGUUUUUCGGAAUGUAAAGUGCUUUCAGUUGGGAAGAAAGAAAUGACGGUACCAACAGAAGAAGUGACGGCUAAAUACGUGCCAGCAGCCGCGGUAAUACGUAUGUCACGAGCGUUAUCCGGAUUUAUUGGGCGUAAAGCGCGUCUAGGUGGUUAUAUAAGUCUGAUGUGAAAAUGCAGGGCUCAACUCUGUAUUGCGUUGGAAACUGUAUAACUAGAGUACUGGAGAGGUAAGCGGAACUACAAGUGUAGAGGUGAAAUUCGUAGAUAUUUGUAGGAAUGCCGAUGGGGAAGCCAGCUUACUGGACAGAUACUGACGCUGAAGCGCGAAAGCGUGGGUAGCAAACAGG
rnacentral:rRNA from 1 species